AACGCAUAUUGCGCUCUCUGGUAUUCCGGAGAGCAUGCUUGUUUGAGUAUCAGUAAACACCUCAACUUCCAUAUCUUUUUUGAAAUGGGAGUUGGAAUUGAGUGAUCCCAACGCUUUUCCUUACCGAAAAGUGGCGGGUUACUUGAAAUGCAGGUGCAGCUGGACUUUUCUCUGAGCUAUAAGCAUAUCUAUUUAGUCUGCCUAAAAAACAGAUUAUUACCUUUGCUGCAGCUAACAUAAAGGAGAUUAGUUCUUGUGCUGACUGAUGCAGGAUUCACAAAGACAGGCUUCGGCCGACUUUGUAAACUCGAUCUCAAAUCAAGUAAGACUACCCGCUGAACUUAA
rnacentral:misc_RNA from 1 species